CAGGUAUUGAAACGGUCUUUAAUAAAAUAUCAUUUAAUGGGAUAAGGAUUAAUAAAAAGAAGAAAUCCAGAAGUAUAAUGAAGAACGAGAUUUGUCUAAGAAAAACCGACUUCUAAUACUAAGAAAAGGGGGCGAUAUACGCGUUCUAAAACCAGUCAAACAAAAAAGAAGAAAGGUUUUGCCUAAGUGUGUACAAUUUACGUCCUAACCUAAAAAUUAGAAGCAAGGGUAUACAAUAUGAUUGACUAUGCGCUUUCAGGUGUAUAAAAAAUCACUGUAAAUAUAGAGAUGGCAAAAAGGAAUUGACUGACGAACGUGUAGACUAUGUGAGCGGUAAAUGGACAAAUUACUCAAUGUCACGCCAAGCGAUCUCGAUGAUUCUUUUUUCAUUACAAAGGAUGUAUAUCAAGGGUAGUCUAAUGACAGUAUGGUUUGGUUCAGAUCAUCCAUGACAAAGUAACGAAC